rnacentral:rRNA from 1 species
GUACGAGCUGAAUUAAAGUGAAACCGCAAAAAGCUCAUUAAAUCAGUUCUGGUUCACUAGAGCGUGACAUAUUUGUUUUGGAUAACUGUGGUAAUUCUAGAGCUAAUACAUGCAACCAAGUCCCGACCAGUGAUGGAAGGGACGCUUUUAUUAGAUCAAAAUCAAUCGGUUCCGGCCUCGUGCCGGGCCGUUGUUCUUGAUGACUCUGAAUAACCCAGUCGAUCGCACGGUCUACGUACCGGCGACUUAUCUUUCAAGUGCCUGACUUAUCAACUGUCGAUGGUAGACUCUAUGUCUACCAUGGUUGUAACGGGUAACGGGGAAUCAGGGUUCGAUUCCGGAGAGGGAGCCUGAGAAACAGCUACUACAUCCAAGGAAGGCAGCAGGCACGCAAAUUACCCACUCCCGGAACGGGGAGGUAGUGACAAAAAAUAACGAUACGGGACUCAUCCGAGGCCCCGUAAUCGGAAUGAGUACACUUUAAAUCCUUUAACAAGGAUCCAAUGGAGGGCAAGUCUGGUGCCAGCAGCCGCGGUAAUUCCAGCUCCAUUAGCGUAUAUUAAAGUUGUUGCGGUUAAAAAGCUCGUAGUUGGUUCUGUGUCCCGCGCUGUCGGUUCACCGCCUGUCGGUGCAACUGGCAUGCCGCGGGAUGUCCUGUCGGUGGAGGUCGUGACCCACGGCGCGUCCAGGCUCGUUCAGGGCCGAAACGCGCCGAUGUGUGUCAGGCCGCCGAUUCAAUCCUGCCGCGGUGCUCUUCACUGAGUGUCGAGGUAGGCCGACACGUUUACUUUGAACAAAUUAGAGUGCUCAAAGCRGGCUGAAUUCCGCCUGGAUAUUGUUGCAUGGAAUAAUGGAAUAGGACCUCGGUUCUAUUUUGUUGGUUUUCGGAAUCCGAGGUAAUGAUCAAUAUGGACAGGCGGGGGCAUUCGUAUUGCGACGUUAGAGGUGAAAUUCUUGGAUCGUCGCAAGACGGACUAGAGCGAAAGCAUUUGCCAAGUAUGUCUUAGUUGAUCAAGAACGAAAGUUAGAGGUUCGAAGGCGAUCAGAUACCGCCCUAGUUCUAACCAUAAACGAUGCCAGCCAGCGAUCCGCCGAUGUUCCUCCGAUGACUCGGCGGGCAGCUUCCGGGAAACCAAAGCUUUUGGGUUCCGGGGGAAGUAUGGUUGCAAAGCUGAAACUUAAAGGAAUUGACGGAAGGGCACCACCAGGAGUGGAGCCUGCGGCUUAAUUUGACUCAACACGGGAAACCUCACCAGGCCCAGACAUUGGAAGGAUUGACAGAUUGAUAGCUCUUCUUGAUUCAGUGGGUAGUGGU